GCCUCUAUAGCUCAGUGGUAGAGCUCUCGCUUAGUAAGCGGAAGCUCGGUAGUUCAAUGCUGGCUGGGUGCA
rfam:Phytophthora infestans T30-4 supercont1.33 genomic scaffold, whole genome shotgun sequence.